rnacentral:rRNA from 1 species
GUGAGGAAUAUUGGACAAUGGGCGCAAGCCUGAUCCAGCCAUGCCGCGUGCAGGAAGACGCAUCUAUGGUGUGUAAACUGCUUUUGUACGGGAAGAAACACUCCCUCGUGAGGGAGCUUGACGGUACCGUAAGAAUAAGGAUCGGCUAACUCCGUGCCAGCAGCCGCGGUAAUACGGAGGAUCCAAGCGUUAUCCGGAAUCAUUGGGUUUAAAGGGUCCGUAGGCGGUUUAAUAAGUCAGUGGUGAAAGCCCAUCGCUCAACGAUGGAACGGCCAUUGAUACUGUUAGACAUGAAUUACAAGGAAGUAACUAGAAUAUGUAGUGUAGCGGUGAAAUGCUUAGAUAUUACAUGGAAUACCAAUUGCGAAGGCAGGUUACUACUUGUGGAUUGACGCUGAUGGACGAAAGCGUGGGGAGCGAACAGGAUUAGAAACCCCGGUAGUCC